UUCAGCGAUGUGCAAAGUUGGACGUCUU
rnacentral:sRNA from 1 species